rnacentral:miRNA from 1 species
CACUUCAUUUCACCUAUUCUCU